GCGAAUCCCGCGGCGACAGGUCGGCGGCUGCGGCGGGAGCAUGCGGGGCGGCCGGCGGCCCGCGGCGCGCGGCGCGUUCGUUCCCCGGCGGUGGCGGCGGCGCGCUGCGGCUCUCGCGUGAGCGGCGGCGGCCAGAGCGUCUGGCAGGGCUGCGAGGCGGGCCGCGCUGGGCCGGGCCGGGCGGCGGCGCGAUGUGGAUCGGCCGCAGCUCCUUCACCAGCCUGGUCGUGGGCGUGUUCGUGGUGUACGUGGUGCACACCUGCUGGGUCAUGUACGGCAUCGUCUACACCCGCCCGUGCUCCGGCGACGGAAACUGCAUCCAGCCCUACCUGGCACGGAGGCCCAAGCUGCAGCUCAGUGUGUACACCACCACGCGGUCCAGCCUGGGCGCCGAGAACCACGUGGAUCUGGUCUUGAACGUGGAGGACUUUGACGUGGAGUCCAAAUUCGAAAGGACCGUCAACGUCUCUGUCCCCAAGAAAACCAGGAACAAUGGGACGCUGUACGCCUACGUCUUCCUCCACCACGCGGGCGUCCUGCCCUGGCGCGAUGGCAAGCAGGUGCACCUGGUGAGCCCGCUCACCACGUACAUGGUCCCCAAACCGGAGGAGGUCAAUCUGCUCACGGGCGAGUCUGCCACGCAGCAGGUCGAGGCCGAGAAGAGGCCGUCGAAUGCGCUGGACGAGCCCGUCUCUCACUGGAGGCCGAGGCUGACCCUGAACGUGAUGGUGGAUGACUUCGUCUUCGACGGGGCCGCCCUGCCCGCCGACGUGCACCGCUACAUGAAGAUGGUCCAGCUGGGGAAGACGGUGCACUACCUGCCCAUCCUGUUCAUCGACCAGCUCAGCAACCGCGUGAAGGACCUCAUGGUCAUCAACCGCUCCACCGCCGAGCUGCCGCUCACGGUGUCCUACGACAAGAUCUCGCUGGGGCGGCUGCGCUUCUGGAUCCACAUGCAGGACGCCGUGUACUCGCUGCAGCAGCUCGGCUUUUCGGAGAAGGACGCUGACGAGGUGAAGGGCAUUUUCGUGGACACCAACCUGUACUUCCUGGCGCUGACCUUCUUCGUGGCCGCGUUCCACCUGCUUUUUGAUUUCCUGGCGUUUAAAAACGACAUCAGUUUUUGGAAGAAAAAGAAGACCAUGAUUGGCAUGUCCACCAAAGCAGUGCUCUGGCGCUGCUUCAGCACCGUGGUCAUCUUCCUGUUCCUGCUGGACGAGCAGACGAGCCUGCUGGUGCUGGUCCCCGCGGGCAUCGGGGCCGCCAUCGAGCUGUGGAAGGUGAAGAAGGCCUUGAAGAUGAGCGUGGUUUGGAGAGGCCUGAGGCCCGCCUUUCAGUUCGGCUCGUCCAGUGAAUCCGAGAGGAAGACGGAGGAGUACGACACGCAGGCCAUGACGCUCUUGUCCUACCUCCUCUACCCGCUGUGCGUCGGAGGCGCCGUCUACUCCCUGCUUAACGUCAAGUACAAAAGCUGGUACUCCUGGCUCAUCAACAGCUUCGUCAACGGGGUCUACGCGUUCGGCUUCCUGUUCAUGCUGCCCCAGCUCUUCGUGAACUACAAGAUGAAGUCGGUGGCGCACCUGCCCUGGAAAGCCUUCACCUACAAGGUCAGCCUCCCGCUGCGUCGGCGCGUCCGUGCCGUCCGGCCUCUGUCGCGGCGGCAGGAGACGGCCUUGGUCCCAGCCAGGCUUCUCGGCAGCAUGUGCCAGAGCAGGGAUGCUCUCAACGCAGAGGCCGGGCGUCUGGGGGGCCGAGUCUGGGCCCAGGCCGCCAGGGCCAUCCCUGCACAGGGGCUGGGACCACGUGGCCCCCCAGGGCGUCCGCACACGGACCUGGCCGUGUGUCAGCGCCGGUGCUGGGGGUUGGGACACAGUCAAAAUGUCCCUCGGUCUCCCCAGCUGAGUGGCCGUGGCCAGCGGCAGGGUGCCGGGCCGUGGGGCCAGGGCACCAGCAGCCUGGGUGGCUCCCCGCUCCGGGCGGGGCUCCGAGGGGCCCCGGCCUCACGCCCGCCGCCGCCGCCGCCCGCAGGCUUUCAACACCUUCAUUGACGACGUGUUCGCCUUCAUCAUCACCAUGCCCACCUCCCACCGGCUGGCCUGCUUCAGGGACGACGUGGUGUUUCUCGUGUACCUGUACCAGCGAUGGCUUUAUCCCGUGGAUAAGAGCAGGGUGAACGAGUUCGGGGAGUCGUACGAGGAGAGCCCCCCGCGGAAGCCCCACACAGACUGAGCGCCCCGCUGGCUGCUCGUGGCCGCCUGGCGGAGCCUCGCGUGUCAGCCGAGUAUUUUGGACACUUUGGUGGAACUUCCGGGCGUCCCAUCCUCUGCGUUGCCAAAACCUCGGGAGGCCCCUUGCGCCCCCGGUCCCCUCGCGCCGUGAUCGGGAUCGGGAGGCGCUGCGGGCGCAGGGGCCUCGCCCGCAGGACCCGUGUCACGGCGUCUAAAAGUGCCCCUCGAAGGAAAGUCUGACGCCUCUGAGUCCAUUCCGUGUAGACUCUGGGGUCACGCGGCUUUUUUCCUUUUUGUUUAAAAUUUGACAAUUUUAAAGCUUAAUGUAUGUACGUUUCUAUUUUAAAAUAAAUUUCUCCGGCUGUAACGGGUUUCCCGGCCUGGGACGACGUGCCGGUUUCA